rnacentral:rRNA from 1 species
AGUGAACGCUGGCGGUAGGCCUAACACAUGCAAGUCGAACGGCAGCACAGUAAGAGCUUGCUCUUACGGGUGGCGAGUGGCGGACGGGUGAGGAAUACAUCGGAAUCUACUUUUUCGUGGGGGAUAACGUAGGGAAACUUACGUUAAUACCGCAUAGGACCUACGGGUGAAAGCAGGGGAUCUUCGGACCUUGCGCGAUUGAAUGAGCCGAUGUCGGAUUAGCUAGUUGGCGGGGUAAAGGCCCACCAAGGCGACGAUCCGUAGCUGGUCUGAGAGGAUGAUCAGCCACACUGGAACUGAGACACGGUCCAGACUCCUACGGGAGGCAGCAGUGGGGAAUAUUGGACAAUGGGCGCAAGCCUGAUCCAGCCAUACCGCGUGGGUGAAGAAGGCCUUCGGGUUGUAAAGCCCUUUUGUUGGGAAAGAAAAGCAGCAGGUUAAUACCCCGCUGUUCUGACGGUACCCAAAGAAUAAGCACCGGCUAACUUCGUG